rnacentral:tRNA from 1 species
GCGGCGGCAGCCAGAUCUCGUGCGCGGGCCUGCCGUGCCCGGCGAUCCGGGACACCAGCAUGUUCAGGUUCGAGACCUGUUCGCCGUC